rnacentral:lncRNA from 1 species
GCUUAUCUAACUCAUUUAACUCAAGCAGGCCAUGUAUACCAAUAUACAGAAUACACUCAUGCCAUUGACAUUGUUGGUAUACCGAAAUUAAAUAGAUCAAGACGUACUAACAUCGACCGUAUGCCGAAAUUCCUCGUUUCUGCCGACUUUAAGGUAUACAAUUCAUAUUUAUGUACAAUACUAUAACAAUAGUCAAUAUAGAGCAAUUCAAUGUACCCUUGAAGAUGUUAUUUAUAGUAAUAUGUCGAGACGAGCGUUCUAUUAUUGUCGUAUAACUUUAGCUAUAAAGAAGUGUAUAGCGGAAGACGUCAAUUAUAAACAAGAAAGUUGAUUAUUUGCCUUAUCGUUUCAUUCUAACCCCAGGUUCAUCGAGUGUCCCUUUCUUCCUUUAGCAAACGUAAACAAUAUGAUUAUCCGAUAAACGCAGUGCAAAGAAACCUUUAAUCUUUAUCGCGUUCCCGGUCCAGUAAAAUAAUGAGAAUAAAUCUCUUCGGACAUGCUUCACAUGAGCCGAUUUGUCUUCUAGCGACAUAUCGCAACUCUAAUCAUAUGUUUGGUGCCGUAAUGAACUAUUAGUAAGGAUUUUACUAUCUCAUUAGGCCAAGGCAAACAAAUUAAAGAUGUGUACGUAAUAAAAGUCAAAUAAAUAGGAACGUUCUGUGUUGUGGUUUUAAUUCCUCACUCCACGUGGUCGGAUUGACGUGUCCACAUAAAGCUGGAGACUUAUAUUUCGAAGAUUAGCUAGCUUUAUAAUCGAACCUAACACCUUUAAAGAGUGGCACUGAAGUGAUAUAAUCUCGGUUUGCACUUAAACACGGAUUUUCCGUCGAGCCCGACAUAACAAAACGCUCUUUUAGAAUUAGCAAAUCUCGGCUAAUUAACACAAAAGCAACGAAGCAGCACCCCGCAAUCGCGAAAUCUUCACCUAUCGUGAUGGUUUUUUCAACAUUUUGCUUACCUACAGCGAUAUUCAAUGUCUCGUGCCACUCUACAAUUCUCUCAGCACCCCAAAAUGUUUGUAUAUGAUCCGGGUUUACGGCCACUGCUGUCAACUCUAAAGUUACAUUGUUUAUGCAUUUUUCAACAGUGGCGACAGCUAGGCGCCCUCUCGCCCUCUGUAUAAAUUUGAUCUUUUGUAGUGGCAGAGAAUACUGAAAAUAGCGUACACAUUCAACUAAUUUUUUGACCUUAUUUUUUAUACCGCCUGCUAUUUACCUUGUGUCUUGGCUACAUUUUUUUACACACGUGACGCGUUUUUCUGCUUAGAAGCAAAUAACGCGAUGCUUCUCAAGAGUUAACAGCUGAUUGCUAUUCUCUCUCUCUCAACCAAAUUUUGCAUGUAUUUCUUACCAAUGAGCAAGCCAAUGCGGCAUAUCAGACAUAUGCAUGCACAUUUACACAAUUACAAAUAUGUACUUUUGUCCGCGUAUACAUUUUCGAGCAUGUGUUAAACUGUUUCUCGCCUCAUUUCAAAUUUUUCGUGUUUUGAAAGUGAGCUGAUAAACGUUUUGGGUGGCCUUUGACUUGAGGGCGGAACGACCUGACAAAACUCAUUCCAGAUUCCAUUCUUCUUAAUUGUAAAAAUCAGGCAGUUUGAUUUCCGUAGUUUAAAUGCGAACCAGAAGGAAUGAUAUUAUAUUCUAGGCUCCUUUCUGGCGAGCAACGUAAGUUGUACAAUGCAUUGAUGCGAAUUAUGAAAAAUGCCUGCUUGUGGGAUACGUGCAAUACUUGGAAUUUUUCCUUCAUUGGCCAUUAGCUUCCAGUUAAUUUUGACAAGGACAUGCGCAAGAAGCAUGCGCAAGAAAGGCAAAUAUUCCACAAAUCUCGGCAUUAUAUCAAGACUGUUUAAUUAAAGAAAAGAUUUUAAUCUGGAUUUUGAUGAAUGUCAAAAUAUUUUUUGGAGGACCAAAUUUUUCUCAUGUUAUUUUUCUUGCAAUUUACUCUUCAUCCCACAUUUACAUCCGUCCACACUCCUACUACAGUACUAGUUUCAUUCAGUUCAAUGUCAGUUGCUAUACAGUUGCUCAGCUUCUCAUUGCGUUUUGAUACAUUACUAAUUGCUCAAUAGUCAGUACCAGGUAAAGCUAUACCCAGAUGAACGCAAAAAUUCCUGCUUGUUUUUACAUCCAGUACCUUGAUUCAAUCAACAGUCGAACAGGUUUUGGAAAAGGCUGUAAGUCUAUUAAUAAUGAUAUAAUGGCCCUAUAAUUGUGACGUUACUGUAGUUCCACGGAUUUGGUAGCAGGAUUCUCAUGUAAAACGGAGCCGCAUCACUACUAAGUUUCUGCUCACACAGCUUGUACUGGAGCUAAUUGUUGAGCUUAUAAUGUUAUACUAGAGCAUGUUCUUGCGCAAUAUGUGACUACCACUGAUCAUUUGUUUUAUCGAAUAUCGAUGAUCAAGUAAAUGAGUAAAUGUUCAUUAGGGUGUGACGGGAAGACCUAAUAGACAACUUGCAUGUUAGACAAAUUUGUGAUUUAGGCAAAAAAAAGUAAAUUCCCGUAAAGAGCUUAGUAAAAUCAGUAAAAUUGCAAAAUUUGGUUGCGAAAUGUUGUUAAAUGCAGAAAAUAUAGCCUUGCCAAGUUUGCAAUUUUCAGUCAUUUUGUAUUACGUUUUGCGAGCCGAAAAUGGUAACAAUUUCCGCACGUAAUACAAAUAUACUGAAAAUAUGCAAACUUCGCAAGGCUAUAUUUUCUGCAUUUUACAACAUUUCGCAACCAGAUUUUGCAAUUUUACUAAUUUCAUUAAUUUAUUUUUAACUGUUGUGUUUUAUUCCCUUCUCUUUACUUUGAUUAAAAUUUAGUCUAACAUGCAAGUUGUCCAUUGAGAGAGAAAUUGAGACACUAGAUAACAAAUGUUCUGGGGACUGGGCCCAAACAUUGCGGAAAGCUUGGGGUUUUGGAUAAUAUACCUGCAGGAUCUGGCAAGUUUUUCUGCGUGUCAUAAUGUCAUUGCUUUUUCUUCAGUUCAUGACCAUGUAAUGAUAUGUAGGAAAAUUUCUCAAUUCUGAUUGACUGCAUGAGACCCGUGAAAUGGCUUUUUAAUAGCACAACACUACAAUACAAAAAGUAAAGAAGGGAAGAGUCGGCCUGGGAACGAGAAAAGGAGAACGGGAUAAAUAAAACCGUUUUCAAGAACUACAUAUUACAUUUGCCUUGGUGGAACUUGUGCCCUUCCCGGAGUACUUUGACUCAAACACCUCACUUGAGUAAAAUAAUGCACCACAGUGACUUGCAAGAUUUUGAGUAAAAUUGCUCAAACUAUUUGUGUAGGUAAUAGUAUGGUUUCGAGUGUUAUUUGCCUGGGGAAAACAUGCACGAGUGAGUUUUUCAAAGACGAUCAAAAUUGCACGAGUGCGAAGGACGAGUGCAAUUUGAAGUCUUGAGUGUAUGUUUUUCCAAAUUCCACAAGAAACCGUACUAUUACUUAUUAAUAAUACACUUUAAAAAAUUAUGCAGUCAUGUCCAUGCGUAGGUCACAUGGCGAAAUAGAUAAUUUUAAUAGGCCUAUAGACAAUUUUAUUAGAAAAUUUUGUCACUCGUAAUGUUUGGGUUUUUUGUAUUAUUUUCACAUUUUGCACUGCCACUGUAUUUCAUUUUUUUGUACUGUAUUUCACUUUUUGGCACUGUAUUUCGAAAAAUUGCACUGCUCUUAAGCCAAUCAGAAUUGAGAAUUUUUUUCAUGUAUAUAUUGUUAAUACGCAAAUUUACUCGAUUUUGAUGUACUUAAUUACAUGUACUCAAAUAUGGGUAAAUUUGCGCAUAAAUUUGAGUAAUUGUACUCAAUAUAUUAAGUCACUGGCACUGCCAUACUGCAUGUGGAUCAGUGGAUGCAUUAUUUUUCUCUAAUUUUGAGUCAAACAGUUUUACAGAGUUGAAGAAUAUUGAUGUUUUCUCACUCGAUUUGUUCAGAAAACAAAACUAAAGGAAUUUUUUGUUAACUUAAUUAAAUUAUACCGUGGCCGUGGACCAUGUGAACAAAUUCUCUUGUUACACUUGCAUACGAAUUCUAAUUUUAUAUCAAUAGACGAGGGCCAUUCGGUGGAAUAUCGUUAAGGUGAUAAUGUGAGUAUAUAUAAUCUCACCCUUCUUGAAAUAAAAUUUUGUUAUUAUUCUUAUUAUUACUCGUGAUUGCAGAAACGUCGAUGCGUUAGUUAUACAUCAUAAAAUGUAGAGCAGACAUUACUGCAAUGUUUGUUUGUUUGUUUGUUUUCAUGCUUGUCGCUCACGAUUUUCCGUUUCUCAUGGCAAUAAAAUGACAUACACCUUUGAAUGCCGGGCAAGGAAUCGUGCCACCCAGAGUUGACAUGCAAGAUGAAUAUCACCGAAAUGAAAGAUAAAGCCAAGAUUCUAUGACAAUACUGCAUGCCCUUAAACUGCGUUUAAGUCUUAUUUCCGCAGUCUUGGCCAGCCCAGAGGGCCAAGCCCAAAGUUUUGAUUAAAGCUGUCAAACCUCUAUUAACACUCAGCGCUCAGUUGAUGUAAUAAACUCAGGUGAUGAAGACUGGGAAAAAUCUGUGAUCAUGCAAUUAUAGGUUAUUAAAAAUCCUAGAUAACUCUAUACAGACUAUAUAAAGUAUGACAAUUAAAUUUAACAUAUUCUCCUUCGGUUUCGAAAUAGUUCAAUGUAUAACGUUACAUUCAUGAUCAGUUACCAAUUUCAUUAAGAAGAAAGUAGGCCUACAAUAGUAACAUAGCAUUCGAAAGCUAUGGUCUAUGGACAUCCUCUUUUCGAAUCUGAAUAAUUUUGAAGAUAGCAUCUAAUCUCGAAGAGUGAUAGUGAAUUUACUUUGGCACACAGUAGAUUUGAAGUUAAGUCUAUUUUCUAAAAGUAAUAAAUAUUUGAACCUCUGCGGAGUUUGUUUGGAAAAGUGUGGAAGGGAGGAGGCCGGGGAGCAUGCGAAGCAAUGAAUCUACUGCGGUCAGAUUAUAUUUUGCCCAUUUAUAUCAACUACUGAACUACACCUUCCUAUUUGAUGAACGUUCGAAAUUGUAUGUCUGCUUAAGACAUACGUGGUUUUAAUAUGCUAUUUAAAACAUAUUAUACAGUACUAGUAGGCUAUUCGUUUCCAAAGGAAGAUUUAGAAAAUGCAAUUCAAACUUCUUCGAAAUGGCCCUCGACAGCCGAAGCAAAAAUCGAAAAUUCAAAGUGUCUUCAGGUUCAAAUUGUCCUGUAUUACAUGUAGCCUAAUAUAGCAGUUCUGUUCGCAGGCUAUAUAUCAUUAUGCCCCUUGCACGCACAUUCAAAAUUUCUCAGAUUUUGUGCUAGCUGUAUGCAUGUUAGUGCAUGUUUUAUUCUCAGUUGUCAGACACUCAAUUCUGUCUGAACAUGAUUUCUAUAUCUAUCAUGGAUCAGUUCAGGAGUACGAUUUCUUUUCUUUCUGUCCCAUAUAUCUUUUCAUCUAAUCUAUAUUACACCUCGCAAAAGAAUUUACAUGAAACCUAAGGAAUUGUGUUAUUUUAAACGCUAAUGGUUUGUUUUAAAUACACAAGUAGUUGGUUUGUUUUAAAUAUAUACAACUAUUCUUUUAAAUAUUAUCGUCUGGUCUAUAUAGACCAUAUUGCGCGUCGAAAUAAAAUGCGCGGAAACAGCUUAAAACAUAAGUUAAUUACCGAUAAAAGAUGGACUCUUGCGUGAAUGUUGUAUCGCGCGUGCAAGAUAUUUGAUCUGAUCUUUAGAGUACGAAAGAAUCUUGUCGAUCAGAUAAGUUUUCUUUGAUACAGUAAUAGUUUGAAAGGUCACACAUAUACGUAGCACAAGGUGUCUUAUCAGCCUUGAUCGUUUGCUGAACAACUCUAUGAAAGUCGCUACAUUUGAUGCUAUCUUGAUCCUUGUCGCCAAAGCACGCUUGAUCGCACUUCAUUCAUUAUAUACAAAUGCAAAGCACCGUUGAAUUGCAAUUUUUUUAUCUUUAUUUGCGCUUCUUUGAAAUACUGUAUAGACGUUUCUUCAUUUUCCCAGAAUACUCUUACUUCGAGCACUUAAAUAUACGAUGUAGUGGGAUAUUGAUGAUGAUGCUGGACAAUACCAGCGGUGAAAUUAUAUAAUUACGCAUCAUAUAAAUUUUCUUGUUUUACUUUGCGAGUAGUAAUUGCAACUUUUCCUACCUUCAAUUUUCCGCGCUGUGCUACGUUCCAACAGGAUCUUCUGUACUUCUAAUCUGCUUUCCGCGUGUAUACUACGUUCCACGCCAGUCGAAAAAUGUUUCCGUGCCACGACGAGUACAAUUUGACAGGAAUUUUCUUCUAUUAUUGUCAAAAACGGUCCCUUUAGCGUGUACCGGGUAUUACCUAUUAACAUGAACAGGUUUAUUUAUAAUUAAUAGCGCGAUUAGUCAAUAUUUGUUAAAGGGACUAAUGUAUAUUAGAAAUCUCACAUAUUUAACGAACUUUUGUUCCACAAUUUGCGACCACACCCUCAAAGCUCGUUAAAUAUUCACGCAAUAGACAAUGAACAAUAUGGCGACAUCGUAGUGAAAUCCACGACAUUUAGCCUUAUCCCGUGUUUUAUCAGCUUUUUACAAAGAUCUUCAGUUAUAGUUUUAGCUUGAAUAUGUGUACAAAAUAUGAUUAUCAAGUUGUCGCUAUCGAUUUCGGUUUGUUAUACGGCACAGCUGGUCAGCAAUCAUGAUAACGCGAUUUGCGGUCAAGCUGCUCUCCGCCGCCUUAUGCAUAUUUUAUAAACAGGUGCGUUUGCACAUCUAAUGAGUAGAGUUUUUGUCCCCAGCAGUAUAGCAAAACAAGACCAGCUUUGUUUAAAGCCGUAUUGAAUAAAUUAUGGGCUUGGGGAAACACUUUUAGACUUAUAUUUAUAACUUUUUGGCAAAUCCAUUCCAUUCCAUCGCGCUCGCAAUUGUUAUGAUUCAUUGGAAUUUUAUGGGAUUACAAGUUGAAUGGAGCUCAUAAUAGAGAUAUAGUAUUAUCUCAUAUAGGCAUUAUCCAUAUCUAGCCAUACAAUAGAAUAUCGCGGUUCAGUUUUAUUACUCAUUAUACUUAUCAGUGAAAACGACCAUAUAUUUUGUAUCAGUUUGGGCAUCUCUAGCUCGUGUAUUCCUAUAAACAGUUGCCUAUUCAUGCACAUCUAAACGUGCGAAUAUCAGUGGUUGAAAAUACAGGAACGUCUUGAAAUAGCAACACCCUUCCUCUCAGGUUUAAUUAAUUUUAACCGAUUCGAAAGGAAAUCUGCAUUCAAGAAGAAGGAACAAUUAGCGUAAUUAGAACAAAAUAUUUUUCUGCACUAACAUGCAAACUAGAAAGUAAUUACUUUAUAAUGAGUUAUUAUAUUGUUGUACAAAGCGAGAAAAAAACCCCGGAAAGUGUUGUCGUGUUGAACACCUUAAGGCGAUUCCUCCCCCCUUGUGUACGCACAAGAACUAAUUAGUUUUCCAGCGAUAGUGGUUCAUGUGGGGCUAAUCACUCAUCGAGCUGUUUAAAAUCCGGCGGUGAAAGCAAAUUAAAAAUUUAAAACAGCCAGUUUCUCGGGGCGAUUAUGAUAUUUUAAACUCAAUUGCUGGCUCCGUGAUUAUGACUUUUAUAUGUUUUGUCUAGAGUUCGGGGUCUAUCAUAGUUAUAAAAUUGAUGUACAACAGUUUAAUGGUCAGUAAAUAUUCAACAUUAUGUACGUCAUCCGCGUUCCUGAAGAGGAAUGAUGUUGUUUCACAAUUUCAUUUUACUGUUUGUAAUUAAACUCUUUCAAUACUGAUAUAGGAAUAACACUCAGCAAUUCAAACUCAGAACCAUGCAUAUAUAUAGGCAGAGAAAUUAGCAAUAAUGGACUAAUAAUUAGCAAACUACUCUGUAAGCUCAUCUCUCGAAACGUUGCAGUGUUUUAAUCUAGGAAUCGAUGCACCACUCCGAAAAGUGUACCACGGAUCUUUGGGAUUUCGAAAAUUCCUUGGUAUAUUAUUAGGGAUUUGUAGGAAUUUGGGGAUUUUCAGGGAUUUUAUGCGGAUCUUUUUAAGAUUUUGAGAGAUUUAUUAGGGGAUUUUUAGGGGUUUUUUCCAGGUGUACCGGAGAUUUGUUGGAGUGAUACACCCCUCGGUUUAGUCUUUCUUUAGGCUGAUGUCCAUGACCAUCAACAUCUAAGCUAGACCACGAUUCCUAAUAAUGGGGAAAAAACGAAAUCUGAUUCCCAAAGAAAACUGCAGAUAGCUAGUGUUUGUGACUCGAUCGCUGUUAUUCCAUAGUUUUAUUGGGGUUUUCCAGACUAUCACAGAUUCCACGGUCUUUUUCUAACUAAUUAAACUGCAGGGGCAAUUGGUUCCAUUCUUUUGCUCUUUGUAAUUCUUCAUAUGCAGCUAGACGAAGAAUGACACGUUCCCCAGUCCUUCAAAAUCCUGGAAUUUGAAGGAAAAAAAUUACCAAAGUUAUCAAUGUUUGGGAAAUAAUUAUAAUGUACACUGGUAUUAAGUUGAUAAGAUGAUAUCCCAUCCCGAAAAGUAUGUGGUGCGCCAAUUAUGAUAUGAACUGAGAGGAAUCCUCCGCUAUAUAUAGUUAAGGGAAGGAGUUGAUCAGAAUCAUUGAAUCCAGAUCGUUAAAUUAAAAUGUGAAAGGUAUAAAAGAUAUUUUCAUUAAAUUCGACGGUGGUGCUGUCGUGAUCAAGUCAUCAAUCGAUGACGUGAAUGAUUGGCCACUUUUAUAUGUUUCCCUUGCGAGACCACUUAAUUCGGGGAGCUAGCAUGAUCUUUCAAUAAAUAAUAAUUAGAAAAAAAUAAGAAAAAUCUAAAAGUAAAGUCUACUACCAGUACCAGUACUAGGACAUUUUACUUGAAUAAAUGCAUUAAUAGAAAGGUAUGAGCGCUGUUAAAAGCUUUUUGUUUAAAUUUUAAGCCGGUUUUCAAGAAUACAUAGUCGUUUCGAACGAUGACCGUGCUCUUCACAUGCGUAAAAAGAUUGAGACUGGCUUUCAUGUUUGGCUUCAAAUUUCUGGUUGGAGCUAGCGUUCCAGUUAUAUUAAUUUCACUGCCUCGAACUAUAAUCAGAACUUCGACGUUUUAUCACGGCCACUAACCUCACGACGAAAGGCCUUCGCUCGAAACGUCGAAAUUCUGCUUAUAUGAAAUUCUGUAUCACUCACAAUCCGCAGCUGUCUCAUGCAUAAGUCACUGGAUUGAAGAGUGUGAUUUAAUGAGCCUGGAAUAUUCUUAUCAUGCACCAUUAUUUCUUCAAUCCGCAUUUGGGACUGAGUACGAAUCAGCUCUUACCCCUCGACGCAAGCGUCUGAUUUCCACAACCAUUGGAGUGAAGAGGGUCAAUGUGCGGCGCUGCGUGUUACAGACACGAAUUCUGAAAUGCAUAAUUUGUUUGGUUUCAGCACUAGCUUCUCCUACAGUUAACCCUAUGUUUCAUCCAUUGAAUGUUUCAUUAUAUAUUAUAUAUGGUUUAUUCCCAAAUCUAGCUUGGAACGAAACUAUCUUCCUGAAACGUGCAAAAAGCUCUUAUUGAUCAAACAUAAUGGGUGUUGGAUCGACUCAAAAAGUGAGGGGUCCAUGUCAGUGCCAUUACCUGGGAGGUACGACGCUCCAUUAAGAGAUACAUGGUUUUUCCCGGGGGUGAGUGGCAUGCUUCUCUGGGAAAUGUUUGUUUAUAUACCGUUUCUGAAAUCCCACUCCCUGCAUUGUUUAGCAAAAUAUUUAGAAAUAUCUAACUAAAUUAAAAUAUGGAGGGGUUCAAACAAACGACGCCCCUGUUAAACAUUAACAUCGCAUAAAAAAUAGCGAUAGUAAAUACAUAAUAUUUAAGUGCAAUCUAAAAUGAUAUCUUCUUCUGAAGAUUAUUAGAUGUCAUAAAUCAAAAGUGAUUACAGAAAUUUUCAUGGAAAUUGCAUCGCUAUUGUAUUUAUACUAUAUGAUCGUGCCGUUAUAUUGAUAAUAGGGAGUUUAAGCUUCACGUUUCCGGGAACGCCAAACGGCAGGUUUGAACUUUCUUGGUAAAACUUUUUCGUUUCAUAUUUUCUUUCUUGUGUCGAAAGAAUAAUCAUGCAUUGCAGUUUUGAAACAGCAAGUUCAUUUACUUUUUAUUGCCUGAUACCGUAAAUUUUUGCUUUGCCUGCAUGGCGUUUGCUGUUUGACGUAUAACGUGAAGCUUAAGCUCUCCAUUGUCAUUGAUACUGAUAAAAUAUCGAAUAAAACGACCAAAUAUACUUUAUUAAAAGCCCCGUUUACACUUGCAAUUUUUGUCGCGAUUUCUAAUCCCCCAACCAAAAAAAUACUUGGUUAGCGUCACCCUCUCACAAAUUUUCAGAGGCGGGCGGGUGGAUUUUUUUUUAAUUUUUACUCGUUUUUUAAUUUUUUAAUAGUAUUUUUGGAGGGGAUGGGGGGCGGUUUUUCCACCAUAUCGGUGAUAUUUUUUGUACUGACGUUGCGAAGGCCGCCAUUUUGCUUUAAGAACCUUGUAUACCCAAGCCUACGCGCUCCUAUCGAUCAGUAUAUAGCGCGAAGGUCUGAGCAUGAGAAAAAUUUCAAAUAUUAAACUGUUUUAAGCUGUAAAACGAGGAGAUUUACAUAAAAAAAUAAAAAAAAAUUCAGAGGCGGCAGAAAAUCGAGAGGCGGGCGGUGACGCUAACCAAGUAUUUUUUUUAUUUGGCCUAAUGCGAAUUUCUUUUUCUGAUGGACGAGUUACGAAUGUUCUUGAGUACGUACAUCUGAACAUUCGUGAUUCAUCCAUCCGUUCACAUAACAAAAAUUGCAAGUGUAAAACUGAUCUUUACUGAAUUGCUGCGCAUGUUUGCGCAUGCAAUUUGCACAUUCGAAGAACAUUCUGGUAGUUGUGAAUACACAUGAGUAAGGCAUACAUCUUCAGAGAAUAAUUGAUUCAUAAGGUUUUCAUAAACUGCGAAAUACUUUUAAGAUUUAAUUACUUUUAAUUGAACAAACGUGUGAAAUACCUUGAAGCCACCUUGUACAGAUUUGGACCUCAGCUUAUAUAUUAUAUUGUGCUGUUUCGUGGGUGGCUUGUAUUGAUAGGAUGCAUAAUAAAUAAUAACCAUAUGUUAUAGAUUGUUAAAAUAUGGACAUAUUCCGAGCCUCCAGGGAUAGUCUGGAAUGAAGCCAUUCUAUUUUACCCUUGCUACUUUACUAUGUUUUAGCCGCCUUCCUGACUGUAACAUAUACAAGUGUUCAUUAAGAAUUUGUGGAAUACAGCAUUAUUUCAAACCGCGAUAUUUAGUAACAACUUCUUAUACUGUCUGAGAGACACUGCUUCAUCUACAGUAUAGCUCACUAGAUGUAUACGAAAUCAGUCAGUCAGUCAGUCAGUUGACUUGAAGAACGAAACCCAGAUGAAACGUGAAUGAGAGUGCAUGAGAGUUGGUAGUCACCGGGCUCACGCGACCUUGGUUAGCUUUCUCAACAUCAUCAUGUAUUUUAUAUAAGUUAAAACGUAGUUGGGACACUCAUCAAACUUUGAUUUUAUUAAUCUAGAAUUUGAAAUGUCCCUGUAACAAUUUGCCAGUGACUGACAACUCUCAGCAACUCCCAUCAGGCUCGUUUGACCGGGGCGCCACCGAGCGAGAGCAACGAGCGUGGCCCUGGGGACGAGGAUGCUGGGGCUUUAGAAUAUGCAUAUCAUUUUAUUGAACUGUUCAACAUUUGCAUAUGAAAAAAGUUGCCCAAAGAACAUUGAAUACUCCGCGAAGUUGAUUCGCUUUAAAUUAAAUUUGAAAAUAUAUUCCCUUAUAGGUGUACUUUUCUCUACUGUUUUGCUUUACACAGUAGCCGCAAAAUACGCUAGUAGAAAAAUAUUUAUUUUGCAAUUCUACUCAGUACUGUAUUGUGGCUACAGGGUGUCCCAAGAAACCAAAAACUAUUAAAUAAUUAACGCAUUGUUAGAAUUUGAAUGCCUCGGCACUCUGCUGAAUCCACAAGUGCAUAUAAAAGCUUGGCAUAAGUAAAUUUUAUGCAUAAAGAAACUGUUUAAAAAAAUGUUUGUAAGAGAGAUUCAUGUAAUAAAUCGUAAAGUUAUUUUCGUUUAGAAUUUAUUAAGAAGCUGCUUUAAAUUCCCAAGAACAGAAAAUCGUGCGCUUACAAAGAUAUUUUAAUUUCAUAAUAACUGAAUAUUUAAUAUGUGCACCCUGUCAAUAUUUUACGCAUCUUUGCGUUCAGCUUUGUACUAGGGCAUUCGAAUUCUAACAAUACGUUAUUUCAAUAGUUUUGGGGGUUUUUUUUGGACACCCUCGUGUAUAAGUGAAACACAAAUAAUGGGCAUGUAGUAAAACACUGACUACCGGAACACCGGAACACCGCCGGAACACCGGUGGUGUUCCGGUGUUCCGGUAGUCAGUGUUUUACUACAUGCCCAAAUAAUGAUUGAAUAGUUCAAUACUUUUAUGUGCAUAUUCUAAUCCCUUCAGUCUCAGCCACAUGUUAUGAUUCAAAUGCAAUUUGUUCCCUGCGCAAAACGCGCCAUGAAACUCCGAUUUCGUCUAGAAGCAAAACGUGUGCACAAGUGACCUCGACCUUGAGUAUCGUGUGUCAUGUCAGUGUUUAUACUGACGACUCUCGUUCUUUACUCGAUUCUAUAUUUCAUCGACAUCGUGUUACGUUGUUUUAUAAAUCGAGGUUAUAAUGAACCGAUCACAGAAACCGUUCUUAACAUCCCUAAGAACCCCCAACCUUGCGAUUUUUCAUUUUACUCACGACACAUGCAUGCGUGACUAAUUUGGCCCCUUUUUAACACUCAUUCAGGGCCGUAGUCACUUGGGAAUGGGGGAGGGGGCAGGACCAGACCCACUCUAUUUCAGGACCAAUUUUGUAAUUCUUCCAAAACUGAGGAGGAACUUUAGGGCGUAACCUCGAAAUGAUAGGCGUCAAAAGAUCGAUAAGUGAGAGGGGGGACCAUAUUCAUAUAUUCGUGUUCUGCAUUAUUAAUUUCUUUUGAAAUCAAUUGUUUUUACGGUCUGUGAACACGAAUAUAUGAAUAUGUCCCCCCCCCCCACUUAUCGAUCUUUUGACGCCUAUGCUCGAAAUGCUUUCAUCUAUGAAAUUACCGAACUCCACAGUUGUUCUGCAUAUUCGACUAUUGGACCACCCUCGCCCAUGCACUCAUUGACAUUGUUUGUUCUGCAUGAGCUUGCAAUUAUUGUGGUUAUGUCAAGCGACUCAAUUAGCUUGUCCUCUUUGUUUGAACAACGAAAUAUAUUAUAAUUAUAAUAUAGAAACGCACAUGUCCGUUGAGUUCAGGGAAGUUAUCCAUAUACUCCGAGUGGAAAAAUGUGUGUGUAGCACAGAUUUUGCAAUCUCAAAUAUUUACAGCUAGAGGGCACAGUGUUUUUGAAAACGUCUUAUCUGCAGGUUAGGCUAUAGCUGUCACGCUAUCUCUACCAACUCUAUUGGCUUACGUACGGUAUUGACUAUUGGGUGGUCAUCUGUAAUUUCUCAGUUCGGGUUAUUGUAUUUCACUUGAGUUUGGUAUUUCGAGUUUUAGAGAAUAUAGCUUUUACAGUUUUAGCAAUUCAAGGGACCGGUUGUAAUAGUAUAAAAAGGUAGUUGAGUGGGAAGGUCAAAAUGGCAUAUUUUAAGAGUUAGAGUAGAGCAUAUUUUGAGAAAUGUAUACGCAGUGCCGUAACGGAGGAAGCCGGGGGGCCCUCAGGCAUUUUUGGUGUGGGGCCCCUGUUGACUGUUGUUAUUGUUUGACUGAGAUAUUAUAUUUAUAUUGAAUAUUUAUAGAAUGUUCUGGAAAAUUCCGUGUCUGUAACAAUAACAGUCUCCAACACAACCGUAAUAAGAAUUGAUUUAUUUUAUUUGAGAUAAAAUAACAAAAUCAGUUACCAUUGUCGAUGGAGGCUUUAUUAUUUAACAUUAUUAAUUUUGCAUUUUCCCAUUGAUUCUUAACCUGCAUUUAUUACGUUUUCUAAUUUUCUGGGCGAUAGGCUGUGGACUUAUAUCAGAGUAUAUUCGAAAUAAAUCUCUGCAGUUGUAAUGUCACCUUUAUGCAUAAUGACGUCACAAGGCUCGAUGCCCGCGAGGAAUGCUGGUUUUAGUGUAUAGUCAUCGCCCGGGAAAAUUUCAGUAGUGGCCAUCUUGAAUUGUUUAAUUUUCCCGCCUACAUCAAGCCUUUCGUUUCUCACAAACACAGUCAUGCACAAACACCCAGUCUCCGCUUCUGAUUUCAAAAUCCUAUCGUCAAGCACUUCUGAGUGGGAUCUUCUUAUCCGUGAAAGCCUAUUAAUUUCUCAACCUAACCCUGUCCUUAAUGCUAAUAUUAGAUCUACCCCUCUUGAGUUAUUUUAGUUAUGUAAUAUUGACCUUAACUAUACUAACCAUGCACUUAACCUUAACGUCGUUAAUCUUUACUAAUUAACUAGUUUAUACUGAUAAGUUGUUUUCCUUUUUUUCUAUUUAUUUGUUCUUUCAAACUUUGUAACCGUUUUUGUAAUAUUAAACCAUUGUUUUGCAAAUGUAUAUAUAUAUAUAUAUAUAUAUAUAUAUAUAUAUAUAUAUAUAUAUAUAUAUAUAUAUAUAUAUAUAUAUAUAUAUAUAUAUAUAUAUAUAUAUAUAUAUAUAUAUACCGUACCUGUAAUUUCAUUUAGAUUGCUCUGAAGAUGUUGUAUUGUAAAAAACGAAACGUUAGCUAUUAAAUUUUUUAACUUUUGGUAUGUUUGGUUUUAAAGUUAUUUGCUGGGCUCUGCUUUUUAUCUUUAAAUUAAGGUCUAUUCAAACAAGCAAGGAGGUUUUAAGAGCAGGUUGUUAUUUAAUUAAGUUAAUUCGCUUACUAUUUAUAGAAACGAAAAUCACGCACGCCAUGUAAAUGUCAGUCGCACACGCGACUAAAUUUAUAAUGUUUGUAUUCGAACUGUCGAGUUUUGUCUGAAGUUUAGACUGGGUUGUUUUGUAAUUUCUCGAUCAUUAUCAAUCACAUAAUUUAUACAAGUUAUAGAGAGAUCGCGAGAUAGGGUGUUCUUCGUGUCGUCGUUUAAUGAGAGGUGACCCAGAUGUGUAUGCCGACACUGACGCUAAGUCGGGGUGCUGAACUGAGGAGUGGUCAAUUAAUAAGAACCAGAUGUUAGUAUUUAAUUGAGAGCAUACAUAUCUUAUUAUACAGGUCAGUGGAAUAGACGGCGACGUUUAACCUCGGUUAAACACUUUCUUUGAAAAAUAUAUGCCGACAUCUCAAGCAAACAAACUUUAUGACUCCUCUUGAAUUACGCAUUCAUCAUAUGUCUUAACAAUCACAUGAUCAGAUGAUACAAGCCAAUCUCUGACAGCAAGCAAACAAAAACAAAUACAAGAGGCAGUUGUCCUGCGUGUUCGACAUUCUUUAAAUCACUGUUGACCUUUUUAGAGUAUCUAGCGAUAAACAGACCCAGAAUAUAGAGACUGUCUGGAGCCGUGUAUUAACUUGAUAUAAACAAUAUCGAACGUAUUUGCAGACUGGUAAAUUCCAUUGCCAAUGUUGUUUUAUAGGGAAGAUAUUUUGAGAGGAAACUGUUUAAAAUCACAUUUUUUACUCAUAUUAUAAUUAAGAGAUAAGAACAUAAAUUGUUUGUUUUCUUUAACAAUUUCCCAGAUAUAGUGGAAAGUAAUGACAGUUUGGAGUGUUCAAUUGAACAAUGUUUGCGGUGCCAAAAAAACUUUGGCUUUAAAUUCGCUUGCGUACCAUAGAUAUAUAUUAUGAAAUCCUAUAACAGCUUCAUUUGUUAAUCGUAGUUGUAGUGUGGUUUUUCCCAGGCUAUCGCAGAUUCCAUAGGACCAUACCUUUUCGACCAUUCAGUUAACUAAACUAGAGUGGUAUAAUUGGCUCCACUUCUCUUACUCUUUGUUUUUCUUCACAUAUACAGCUAGACGAAGACACGUUCCCCAGCCAUCGGUGAAAAUCCUGGAAUUUGGAAAAAAAAAUGACUAAAGUGUCGUAACUAGUGAUAAGAUUUUUCCCCAUUCCAAAAAGUAUGUGGUGUGCCAAUUAUGAUAUGAACUGAGGGGAAUACUCCGUUGUAUUUAAAGGAAACAAGUUGAUCAGAAUCAUUGAAUCGAGAUCGUUAUAAAUAAGAAUGUGAAAGAUAUGAAAGAUAUUCUCAUUAAAUUUAACGAUGGUGCGACGUAUGAAACAGGCCUAAUCGUGACCAAGUCAUCAGUCGACGAAGUGGAAGAGGUUAUUUCGCUGGCCUCAGAGUGACAAAACGUAACAAAGCAACGGUUUUACUGGCACUAACCGUAUUCCAAACACCAACUCUAACCUUAAUCCUAACCGUAACCUAACCCUACUCGAUAGAUAUAGUAUGAAUCCUAACAGCUUCAUUUGUUAGUCAGUCAGCUCAAAGAUAAAUCAUCCAGAAAUGUAAUCAUAUUCAUAUCUAGCAUUGUAAACAUGAUAUUGAUAAAACGUAAAAUUUUGCAUUGUAAUAGGAACACCUAAUCCCACAUAAAAUUAUCAAGGACAUAACGUGGGAUAAUGGGAUGGUGACGUGUGGUAGAUUAUGAUUAGAUUAAUUAUGGACCACAAAAUCUCGCACAAAAUAGGAACAACAAUGCAACAUAUCAGUAUACGUGAACCAUUUACGCACGCAGGGGAAAUUUGUGGUUGAGAAGAUAUGUGUUUUUGUUCUGUUAGUAUAAAUAUAGG